rnacentral:rRNA from 1 species
GAUCAUGGCUCAGGAUAAACGCUAGCGGCAGGCCUAACACAUGCAAGUCGAGGGGCAGCGGAAGAAGUAGCUUGCUACUUCUGCCGGCGACCGGCGCACGGGUGCGUAACGCGUAUGCAACCUACCUUUAACAGGGGGAUAAUCCGAAGAAAUUUGGUCUAAUACCCCAUAAUAUUUCAGAAGGCAUCUUUUGAGGUUGAAAACUCCGGUGGUUAAAGAUGGGCAUGCGUUGUAUUAGCUAGAUGGUGAGG